rnacentral:rRNA from 1 species
CCUACGGGAGGCAGCAGUGGGGAAUAUUGGGCAAUGGGCGCAAGCCUGACCCAGCAACGCCGCGUGAAGGAAGAAGGCUUUCGGGUUGUAAACUUCUUUUAUCAGGGACGAAGCAAGUGACGGUACCUGAUGAAUAAGCCACGGCUAACUACGUGCCAGCAGCCGCGGUAAUACGUAGGUGGCAAGCGUUAUCCGGAUGUACUGGGUGUAAAGGGCGUGUAGGCGGGAGUGCAAGUCAGAUGUGAAAACUAUGGGCUCAACCCAUAGCCUGCAUUUGAAACUGUACUUCUUGAGUGCUGGAGAGGCAAUCGGAAUUCCGUGUGUAGCGGUGAAAUGCGUAGAUAUCAGGAGGAACACCGGCGGCGAAGGCGGCCUGCUGGACCGCGACUGACGUUGAGGCUCGAAAGCGUGGGGAGCGAACAGGAUUAGAUACCCUGGUAGUC